rnacentral:rRNA from 1 species
GACGAACGCUGGCGGCGUGCUUAACACAUGCAAGUCGAACGGAAAGGCCCUGCUUUUGUGGGGUGCUCGAGUGGCGAACGGGUGAGUAACACGUGAGUAACCUGCCCUUGACUUUGGGAUAACUUCAGGAAACUCGGGCUAAUAUCGGAUAUGAGCUCCUGCUGCAUGGUGUGGGUUGGAAAGUUUCGGCGGUUGGGGAUUGACUCGCGUCUUAUCAGCUUGUUGGUGGGGUAGUGGCUUACCAAGGCUUUGACGGGUAGCCGGCCUGAGAGGGUGACCGGACACAUGGGGACUGAGAUAGGGCGCAGAAGGGUAUGGGAGGCAACAGGGGAGAGUAUGGCGGAAUAAGCGGAAGUCAGAUACAGAGGCGCCGGGUGCGGGAUAACGGGCUUCGAGGUGAAAACCGAUUUCGAAUGAAACGAAGCGUGAGUGACGGUAAUGAGUAAAGAAGCACCGGCUAACUACGUG